rnacentral:rRNA from 1 species
CCCAGCGCUUGAACCGUACAGCGGCGAGUGAAGCGGCAACAGCUCAAAUUUGAAAGCUAGCCUUCGGGUUCGCAUUGUAAUUUGUAGAGGAUGAUUUGGGGAAGCCGCCUGUCUAAGUUCCUUGGAACAGGACGUCAUAGAGGGUGAGAAUCCCGUAUGUGACAGGAAAUGGCACCCUAUGUAAAUCUCCUUCGACGAGUCGAGUUGUUUGGGAAUGCAGCUCUAAAUGGGAGGUAAAUUUCUUCUAAAGCUAAAUAUUGGCGAGAGACCGAUAGCGCACAAGUAGAGUGAUCGAAAGAUGAAAAGCACUUUGGAAAGAGAGUUAAAAAGCACGUGAAAUUGUUGAAAGGGAAGCGCUUGCAAUCAGACUUGUUUAAACUGUUCGGCCGGUCUUCUGACCGGUUUACUCAGUUUGGACAGGCCAGCAUCAGUUUCGGCGGCCGGAUAAAGGCUCUGGGAAUGUGGCCUCCACUUCGGUGGAGGUGUUAUAGCCCAGGGUGUAAUACGGCCAGCCGGGACUGAGGUCCGCGCUUCGGCUAGGAUGCUGGCGUAAUGGUUGUAAGCGACCCGUCUUGAAAACCGGGGACCAAAAAUUCGUGUUUGCGUGGGUCGCCCCUUGCG